UACGUAGGGGGCAAGCGUUAUCCGGAAUUACUGGGUGUAAAGGGAGCGUAGACGGUAAUGUAAGUCUGGAGUGAAAGGCAGGGGCCCAACCCCCGGACUGCUCUGGAAACUAUGUUACUAGAGUGCAGGAGAGGUAAGCGGAAUUCCUAGUGUAGCGGUGAAAUGCGUAGAUAUUAGGAGGAACACCAGUGGCGAAGGCGGCUUACUGGACUGUAACUGACGUUGAGGCUCGAAAGCGUGGGGAGCAAACAGG
rnacentral:rRNA from 1 species